rnacentral:rRNA from 1 species
GAUACCCCCGUAGUCCUAGCCGUAAACGAUACUCGCUAGGUGUCGGCCACGGUGCGACCGUUGUCGGUGCCGUAGGGAAGCCGUGAAGCGAGCCACCUGGGAAGUACGGCCGCAAGGCUGAAACUUAAAGGAAUUGGCGGGGAGCACCACAACGGGUGGAGCCUGCGGUUUAAUUGGACUCAACGCCGGGAAGCUCACCGGAUAAGACAGCGGAAUGAUUGCCGGGCUGAAGACCCUGCAUGACCAGCUG